GACGAACUGUUCUAACGUUAUUCGGAAUCACUGGGCUUAAAGGGCGCGUAGGCUGUUUGUUAAGCGGGGUCUGAAAUCCCUCGGCUCAACCGAGGAACUGGGCUUCGAACUGGCAGACUAGAGUGAAGUAGGGGUAAGCGGAAUUUGCGGUGGAGCGGUGAAAUGCUUUGAUAUCGCAAGGAACACCGGCGGCGAAGGCGGCUUACUGGGCUUCAACUGACGCUUAAGCGCGAAAGCUAGGGUAGCGAACGGGAUUAGAUACCCGCGUAGUCCCUGAGCGGGCUGG
rnacentral:rRNA from 1 species